AUUGAACGCUGGCGGCAUGCUUUACACAUGCAAGUCGAACGGCAGCGCGGGGGCAACCCUGGCGGCGAGUGGCGAACGGGUGAGUAAUGCAUCGGAACGUAUCCUGUAAUGGGGGGAUAACGUAGCGAAAGUUACGCUAAUACCGCAUACGCUCGAGAGAGGAAAGUAGGGGAUCGCAAGACCUCACGUUAUAGGAGCGGCCGAGUGUCCGAUUAGCUAGUUGGUGGGGUAAAAGGCCUACCAAGGCGACGAUCGGUAGCUGGUCUGAGAGGAUGAUCAGCCACACUGGGACUGAGACACGGCCCAGACUCCUACGGGAGGCAGCAGUGGGGAAUUUUGGACAAUGGGCGAAAGCCUGAUCCAGCCAUGCCGCGUG
rnacentral:rRNA from 1 species